rnacentral:tRNA from 1 species
AUUCUUAUAGUUUAUAUGAAAAUAUGGCCUUGAAAAUGCCAAGAAAAUUUAUUUUAAGGGUA